AGACCCCUCACAGCUUCAUUGCCCUUCUCUGGACACACUCCAGGGCCUCCCUGUCUUUCUUGCAGUGAGGGGCUCAAAACUGAAUGCAGUGCAUGAUGGGGUUGUAUUGCUACUCUUAGUGCAAGUCAGAAUUAAGUAGAACAAAUAUUUUAAUGCUGAUGUAAGGAAUUGACUUGGACCCAAUGUGAGGUAAUACAACAACAGUCCAAAAUGAAUUUGGGUUUUGGUAAGCACAAGGAUCUUAGUCAACUCAUUUAUAACAGUGAGAACUUCAGAAAUGGUGUGGAAGGUUGGGGUUGUAUUGGUGAAAUGAUGUUCAAAAUAAUAAUAAUUUUAAAAGAAAGUUUAUAAAAGCAAAGUGUUCUGAAAUGAAUUGGGAAAAUAAACCAACAUAGGUAAUAUUUCAUAGAAUCGUGUAAUGGCCUGUGUUGAAAAGGGCCACAAUGUUCAUCGAGUUUCAACCCCCCUGCUAUGUGCAGGGUCACCAACCACCAGACCAGGCUGCCCAGAGCCACAUCCAGCCUGGCCUUGAAUGCCUCCAUGGUCUUUUGUGUAUGUAUAUUCAAAUAAGAUGUGUUGGCUUUUAGUCUCAUACUGUUGAUGUUUGGGGUUGUGCGUGUGUACCAGAUAGUUCUCCUACAAGCAGGUUUUAUUUGGGUCUCUCUUUCCCCUGAGCUCAGGUUUUGUACUGGUUUUCUGUUCUUGUGCACAAAAGUCUGAGCUUUCUAAGGUGUAAUUUCUCUUAGCUGUGAUUGUAAUUUUAAAUUAUUGACUUGUGACAGAAUGCCAAGAUAUUGUAUUAGGAAGGUGAUUCACGAGUUUUGAUAGUGGUGCUUUUCAGCAAUAGAGUCAGAAGGCAGUGUUUUACCAAAGGCUAAUGGGGAUGAUGCUGGUUUCUAUUUCUUCUCUUUUCUCUGUAUUGGUAAAAGGGAAAUCAACUCCAAACCAUACCCGUGCAAGCACGCAGGGUUGGCUAUAACACACCACUCUUUGAAAAAGUACCCAAUUCUUUCAUUCUGUUUUCAAAGUUACUUUGGUAUUUACUUUGGGAGUCUCCUGUUUUGAUUUCUUGAAAACAUGCAAUAAUCAAAUGUAUUGUAAAGUCAAGCCCUUCUGACUCUCUCUCUUCUCAGACUCUCUGCGCACUUAGAAACAGCUGAUGAAUCUGAAUUCCUUUAGGUGGGGUUAAUCAAACUGAAAACAGUCCUUAUGAAGUGCUGGACAGAGCACUUACGUAUCUUUCAUUUUGUGAUGGUGCUUAAAGGCCACAUUGCGGUUGAGUUUUGUUAUGCUGGUUGCUGUAAUACGUGUGGUUCCUCACCCUCAAAACCCAAACAUUUUAAUCCUGAAGACCAUUAUCCUUCUCAAAUAAAUGAAUGGAUAAAUUCCCAAACUGGUUGUGGAGUGGUUUUUUUUCCUAACUCUUGGCUCCUCUGCUGCUUGCAUGUGGGACAGAAAUGAGGAAGAAGGGAAAAAAAGGAAAGCAUAAUUUUGCCUUUAGAAUAGAAGGAGGUGGCUGUAAUUUUCCCUUUCAGGCUGACAGAGCUUCUUCCUUUUAGCAAAAAUGGUAUCAACCGGAUGAACUGCUGAUUUUUAUAUAGCCCGUUGUGUGCUAAUGGGGGGGUUCUUGAGGUGUGCUGAUGUCAUGUCAUCUUUACACUGACAUCCUCUGUGUACAAUGCAGCAUAACCAACUUUCAGAUCUAUUGUUUCAUUCUCUAGUCAAAGUGGUCAAGAAAGUGGUUUUGCACUUUGGCCAAAACUCAGAAGCAACCAUUUCCUAAUGUGUUGUUUUGUUUUUCUUUUAUGUGGCAGCAGCAUCUAACGAUGUUUGCACAAAUGUGUCUUCAUGUGAUAUCACAGAAGCAUCUCCUUGUUCGCUCCUUCUCCUCAAGGUGCCAGGACAGUUAAUGGCAUUCAGGCCAUGAGCUUCCUGUCUAAUAAUAACAGGAUCACCAGCAAUGUGCAGAUGCAGUCAUUUUUGUUGAAGCAGGUAUUCUCUAGUGAAUUUUCACUUUCUAAAAUAGAAGAGCGGUAUAAUUUGGCAUUAAAAGGGAUCAUCUAAUAUGUUGUAGAAUCAAUUGUUCAUCUUUAUUAAUCAGAAAAAAAAUCAAAUGUUUUUGACAGAAAUGUGAAAUGAAGAUAUCCAAGGUAGGAAUUCUGCUGUUGAAGAUAUUCUCUCACUUUGUGGAUGUGUCCUGCCUCUCGCUUUCAGCUUUAGCUUGCUUGAUGCCUGUUUCUUGCUGUUCAGUGACUGGGGCCCCUCGUGUGUGCAGUCAGUGCUGGAGCUUCUUUCCUGCAUCAGGAAAACUCCCAUGCCAGGUCAGUGCUCAGUCUGAUUUGUGUUCUGCUGCACAAAAGGUUGCCAGAUUUUAGUUGAUGCUGCAGGUGCUUUAAAGUUUUGCUGUAGCUUCCUACCUGCAUUGUUUUUAAGCAUCUCCCUUUCCUAAUUGUGUGGUUAAUGUGGUGGUGCACUGGCAGGAAAGUUCUAUGUCAAUUUGUGAAUUUAACUUUUUUUUUUUGCAGGUAUGUAAGAGUAAACUAGGCUUCAUGGAAUACCUUCUACUUUAAGAAUUAGUAGAUCGGGUCAGAUGGUUGCAACAUUACGUGCAGCAGUGGUUAUCUUAUUAACAACCAAUUUGGGAAGGGAUACGAGUAAUGCAUUGGCAAGUUUAAGUUCCAUUUUAGAACAGUUUAAAAGGUUGGUUCUUAAAACGCUGAUGUUCAAAAAUGCCUUUCAAUUAGGCACAGGAAUAAGGUUAUCAAAGCUGCUACAGUCUGCAGCUGGUCCUUCUCUUUUGUGCAUCCCGCUGCUCUUGUGGUUGUUACCAUUUAAAGAGCAUGUUUAUGGUUUUCAGUAGCAUCUGAAAUCAACAAAAAUUACCCUGAAAUCCUAAUAAAUGAAUCAAAGAAAGAUCUUCAGUUCUCUUUCCAUUAUAUAAACUUAAUUUUAACGAUGUUGUAUUAAUAUCUGAAGUUAUUUGUUACCUGCUAAUAUAAAUAAUAAUAUAAAAUCUUAAAAUGUGAGGGUUUUUUCAUGUUUAAUUAGCUUGGCAGAGUUCAUGCAUCACUGUGCAGUGUAAAUAAACUGUUAUUAUAUUUCAUAGAGCAGAGAGGCAUUACUGAAUUAAUAUGCAUUUCUUUUGUAAUUGCAUUGUUGGGUAAUUGUGCUUUAUAAUAUAUUUCAACUUUUUACAUUUACAUCAUUUCUUUGUUAUUUGUUUUAUUGUUCUUGGUGGUUUUUUUUGACUAGAACUGCUAUGCCAUAUUAAGUCGCGUUUUCUUGCACAGGAAAAAAAAGAUGUAAAAUGGAAUACAAAUCCAAAAUGGAGAUCCCUGUCAGAGUAAAAAUAGAGGAAUGAAAUUAAGCCACUGUACUAAAGCACUGAUUCACAAACUUGUUGAACUGGAGUUUGGUCAUUGAUAUGGGUGGAUGGGGGACAGGUGAUGCCAGUGGUGUUAAUUUUUCUGUCCUAUGUUCUUCAACAUAUGGCCCAUUUCUGAAGGCAGAACUCUGCUCUGUGCUUCCUGCCUCACUUAACUAGCUUAUCACCUCUCCUUCAUCCUGUUCUUGUAUACCACCAUCUACUCGUGUAUGGCAAGCCCAGUUCCUAAUUUGCUCUCAGAUCAGUAUCUUCCUGCAAAGUGUUGGUUGUUGAAGUGUGAUGAUGUUCACAGGCCUAGCUGGGAGAUACUGUGCUACACUGCGGUUAGAAACAAAGUGUGGCAAAUAGCUGGUCUUACAAAUCCUUCUUCAGAUAAGUAAUGCCCUUAAAGGCUGUUGAAUGCAUUUCAUUAAGGAUUACAUGUGAUUAGUGGUCUGUAAGGUCAAGAGUAUGACCUGUCAUUAAUGAGUAUUCAUAUAUUAGUGCUGCUUUGAGCAGGAAGUUCAACUAGAUUGCCUCUGAGUUCAGUUGCAAUGAGAAUGAUUAUCACACUUGUAUUGCGAAAAUAGAUAUUUAAUUUGUAAAAGGACAUAUUAAUUAAAUAAGCUAUGCCCUAUCCAGAUGUUGCAAUUCAUUUUACUUAUUCUGUCAUAUUGUAGCAUGGAGAUACAAAUUUGACCCAAGUUUUAAGAUUUAAAACAGUAUUUAAGAAAAAGAAUCCUUUUUGUGUAUUUCACUGAAUUCCUUGUAUAUAGUUUGAUAUUCUUAGCAUACAAUUGAUUUGGUUGUGGUACUAGUCAGAGUAUAGUGCAGGUGAAUGCAGUGCUUCCAUUUGCAACUGAACUGUGUCAAUGGGCUCAAGUGGACUCGGACUAUUUCAGGUAUUGCUGGCACUGAGGCUGUUGUACAAAGCCAUCAGUGCAGGUCAGCAGUCUGAGAAAGAAAGGUUUGAGGCCCCAAAAACUUCCAAAGCAAGGACUCUGCACAUGAGAAGGAAUUCUCAUAUUCAAAAACUAUCAAACAAACAACACUCUGUGAGAUUAUACUGUGUACAUCCUGAAUAUACAUAGAUGCUGCCACACAGAUGCUGAUGUCAGUAGUGUAUCAAUGACUAGACAGACCUCCUGGACUAUAGAAACCAUAGAAAGCAAAUUAAAAGGAAUAAAAGGUGUUAUGAAGGAGCUGAGAAAAUUCCUUACAUUACUCCUUGCUACAAAGAAUGUUGUGAACAUUCUGUCCUUUUCAGACAAUGUAGUUGGGACAUUAUUGAAUUAGAGAAUAAGAUUGAAUGUGCAAAUGCUCAAGACUGGGAAUUGUCAGUUGGUGUAUGUGCUGCACUUCUAAACUGAGCACAUCUGGAAUUUGCAGGCCAAGAAUUCAUAUUUUCAUGCCAAACUACCUGAUGUAAAUACUGAAGUACUUGAAUACAGUCAUAGAGUUCUGUGAGCACAUGAUUUAAUAGAGUCUAGUUUCCUACAUAGCUGUAUACCUUAGAGGUACCAGCUGCUGUUGGCAUCUUUAUAAGCUGUUUCUGUUUUGUCUGUAUUACUUUAUAAGUAUCCAGAGUAAAAUUCUAUGUACAUUUGGUGAAAUUAGAGAAAGUUGUGAGGGACUUGAGGACAGUCUUCUAAAGAGAGAUGUAUUAGCAUAAUAAUGGUAGGUGUCAUUCAGUAUUUGCAGUCAUGAAAUAACUCUCAGUGGAAGGGAUGACUGAACUACUUGAAGAGAUUUCUAAAUUACAAGUAAAUGUUGCAAAAAUACACUUAAGCCCCCAUGUAAAAAUAUCUUUAAGAAGUGCCCGCUGUGAAUGAAGCAGCUUAAAAAUUUAUUUUAGUGAUGCUCCUUAGUAGCUUUAAAUGAAAGAUCCUUACUUAGUUGUGCUUACUGAAGUGAUCUUCCCAUCUGGUUUCAUUGCAAAAGCCAUUGAUGUUUACUUUACCAAUCAGUGUGUUUAUGCAUCCUCUGGUUGGUUUUGAAUGCUAUUGAUAAAUAACAAGUUCUUGCCAAGUAGGUAAAGUCUUUGCAGCUUACAUAAUUAAAGUAAUAUUUGCUGUAUUUCUUGCUUUCGGUUUAUUUUCUUUGGGUUAUCUCUGAACGCUCAAUAAUGGCAAUACAUUCAUUCUGCCAUUUGGAGGAGCCUGUGCCACAGAAUAAUGAUCUGAAGAGAGCUGAUGCGUUUGCAAGGAAGAGUCCUCAUUUGUGCAAUAGCGUUGAUGCAGCUAAGAGGUGCCUUGCCAAGUUCAGAAACAGAAGCUUAUGUUCUGUGUUUUUUAUGCACAUAUUCAACUGUACUUACCAGCAUCAUCCUGGGACAGUGCUUCUUCCUCAGAACUUCAGUGACAUAAAAAAGGGCAGUGCUUUUAAUCUUCCCAUACUUGGAUGGAACUGUUUUUUCUUCAAAGAGCAAACAGAAUGCUGCAUCUAAGGAGUAAGAAGAUCAGUGUCUUGUCUCACUCUUCUGGUGUGCAAAUGAAGCUUGUCCAAUAUGUGUUACCCCAGAAAGAAUUAAGAUAAUUGAAGUCAGAGUAUCUGAACUUGGAUCACUUGCAAGUGUAGGUUGCUUGUCUGAAAUCUGUUCUGAAGCUUCAUUGCAAAGCAAGCACGGCACUAAUGAUGGAUGCGAGCGGACGUCUUAAGGGUAACUGGAUACGGCAUCUUCGGAAACGGUGGUGUUUUGGUGGGUGGAAGAGAUAAUCCAGCCUGCCAAGUGCUAUGCACUCGUUCCAGUGCCAAAAUACGAAACGCACACCAACAGCUUUAAUGUAAGGGGCAUACUAGGUUCCUCCAGCUGCACUGAACGAUUAUGUGUGCUAGGUGGAUGAAUAUAAGCUUAGCUAUCUGCUUCAAUCGAUUUACAGCACCCGCUGUGAGGGAGCCCUGCUCCACGACUUGGCUACCAGGUACUGGGAUCAUACGAGAGUCCAGGGCAGCAGAAGCCGCCCACUGGGGUACAGAAACAUGCACCGGCCUUAGGAGAUGAAUAGCAGAGAUGGAGAGAAAACAACCCUCUUGGAGACAAGAACACAAGUGUUCCUCACUCUUGAUGUAUUUUCACAUGAUUGCAGCUAUCCGGACUGCUAUCUUCAUGUUUCCUUCAGCAUUUAUUUGCAAAUGAACUUUAGAAUUAGGGUGAUUGUUCGGAAGGGUCUUUGAGUUCCAUACAGCACCACCCCUCCUUGACAAGCAGUUGAUAAUUGCAAUAGAGUAUUUGGAACUUGUUUGCCUUCUCACUGGCAGUGCCUUAAAAGAAGCAUCAGCUACAGAAGGAAAGAAGCCGGGAUGCAGUGAUCACAACCAAGCAGCAGCACGUGGCUCAGGCACAGAAGCUAGUGGACUCCGCAUUAACAGAACAGAAGUUAGUGGACUCCGCAUUAACAGAAGUUAGUGGACUCCGGAGUAAUUAAGGGAAUAAGGUGAAAAAGAAUUAAAAUCUUCCAUUGGAAGGCAUGUAAAAGUGCAUGCAAUCUGUGGAGCCAUUAAUCAACCAUGGAUGGCCCACUUGCUUAGGAAGACUAUCAGGAGAGAUCUGAGUUUUCUUGGGUGGAACCUAGUGGUUUCCAACUCAUUCUUUCCAACCAAUGAAUCUGUGGUUCUAUGAGAAUGAUUCGGUCCACCUGGCAGAUGCAAACAAGUAGAGAAUUGAGCCAUCCCGGUGUGAAAGUGUCCACGGUGAGCUCAGAGCAGCACAGCUGGCAUCUUAUUAAACACAUUGGUAUCUAAAGAAAGAGGAAGCAGAGGAUGCUGAUUGAUUGAGUUCAGACCUGGCUGCACUGUUAACUAGUACAAUUAUGACUUGAAGAUGUGGGUUUGGGGCUUUUUACAAGUUUCUCAGUAUUUCUACCCUUUAUAUUUGUAGAAGCCUAACAUUAGUGGGCUGCGAUUCUUCAAGAUCCUCUGAGGAUUCCCCUUUCACAGUGCCUCAUUCCUGCUAUUGAGUGCCAUUAGCCAUGCUCUGAUCAAGAGGUAAUGAUCAAGAUCUGAUCAAGAGCUAAUUAAUUUAGAGGUUACCGUAGUUUAAUACCUAAAUAAUACCUUAGUUAUUAGUAAUACCUAAAUAACCAACCAGAUGGUCUGUGUGGUCUCUAUUCCCUUCCUUGGGAUUCUGUGUCGUUGCUUGGCUUUGCUAGAAGUCUUAAGUUAUGAUCUGGGUGUUUUGAAGUGGGAGCAUAUCACAGAAUCACAGAAUGACCCGGGUUGGAAGGGACCUCAAGGAUCAUGUAGUUCCAACCCCCUGCCUGGCA